rnacentral:rRNA from 2 species
UGGGGAAUAUUGGACAAUGGGGGCAACCCUGAUCCAGCCAUGCCGCGUGUGUGAAGAAGGCCUUCGGGUUGUAAAGCACUUUCAGUAGGGAGGAAAGGUAGCGUGUUAAUAGCACGUUACUGUGACGUUACCUACAGAAGAAGGACCGGCUAACUCCGUGCCAGCAGCCGCGGUAAUACGGAGGGUCCGAGCGUUAAUCGGAAUUACUGGGCGUAAAGCGUGCGCAGGCGGUUUGUUAAGCAAGAUGUGAAAGCCCCGGGCUCAACCUGGGAAUUGCAUUUUGAACUGGCAAACUAGAGUCUUGUAGAGGGGGGUAGAAUUCCAGGUGUAGCGGUGAAAUGCGUAGAGAUCUGGAGGAAUACCGGUGGCGAAGGCGGCCCCCUGGACAAAGACUGACGCUCAGGCACGAAAGCGUGGGGAGCAAACAGG